AGGGAGGAACUGUUGAAAAGGCAGAACUUGUGUGGCUACAGUCUGGUGAAGGACCUCAGAGGGCCAGAAAGACAGAGUUAGAGAGAAACAGAAAAUAUAAUGACCAUGAAGCUCAUCCUAAACUACUGCUAGGGACUGACAUACUCUGGAUGGCUUGUGCAGCAUCACAGAACCGCUGUGACCAGAACAUCGAGGUGGUGACUAAAUCAAAAUGUCAUUCCUGCUCCUUGACUUCUUUAGUACAAUGUCCUGAUGAGUACACCAAGAGUCAGCCAGAGAGAAGUACAAGACAUGUGUUUAUGUGUGCUGGUAUCACAUCACCAUGGCUUUGUCUGUCAAGGGCUGUUCGUUCGAGUGUUACAAAGACACGGUGGAGCCCAAGUGCUGUCCAGGUCACUGGGGCGAUGACUGCAUUGAGUGUCCAGGAUCAGCAGCGACUCCCUGCAGCAAUAAUGGAGUCUGCUCUGAUGGUAUAGCAGGCAAUGGGACUUGCACAUGUGCAUUUGUUGAAGGGUAGGGUUGCAGUGUAAAAGAUGUGUGCAGACCAGACUCCUGCCAUAAAUAUGCCGCCUGUGCCACAGUGGAACCAGGAACAGUCGAGUGAAAACCCUGCUGGCUAACGAGAUGAGAGCUCGCUAACUUGCUAAGCUGCACAUGGUUGCAGGAGAGGUGAACUCUGAGUCGCUGAAGAAGGGAAUCCUCUACUACACUCUGACCGGCCUGGCUGCAGAAACAUUGACAGAUGGAGGUGAUUGAAUGGAGGUUGUGUGUGUGUGUGUGUGUGUGUGUGUGUGUGUGGGUCUGUGUGUGUGUGUGUGUGUGUGUGUAUGUGUGUAUUCCCCAAAUGUU